GCCAGAGAGCUCACUGGGUAAAGCAUUGCAUUGCGAAGCAGAAGUGACGAUCACGUCGCGGGUUCGAUCCCCGCCUCGGACC